CUCUCUGUGUGUGUGUGUGUGUGUGUGUGUGUUGUCUUCAUAUAUAUUGUACACACACAAACACACCUGCACACAGAGAGAGGG
rnacentral:miRNA from 1 species